rnacentral:rRNA from 1 species
UGGGGAAUAUUGCACAAUGGGCGCAAGCCUGAUGCAGCCAUGCCGCGUGUGUGAAGAAGGCCUUCGGGUUGUAAAGCACUUUCAGCGGGGAGGAAGGCGUUAAGGUUAAUAACCUUGGCGAUUGACGUUACCCGCAGAAGAAGCACCGGCUAACUCCGUGCCAGCAGCCGCGGUAAUACGGAGGGUGCAAGCGUUAAUCGGAAUUACUGGGCGUAAAGCGCACGCAGGCGGUUUGUUAAGUCAGAUGUGAAAUCCCCGGGCUCAACCUGGGAACUGCAUCUGAUACUGGCAAGCUUGAGUCUCGUAGAGGGGGGUAGAAUUCCAGGUGUAGAGGUGAAAUGCGUAGAGAUCUGGAGGAAUACCGGUGGCGAAGGCAGCCCCCUGGACGAAGACUGACGCUCAGGUGCGAAAGCGUGGGGAGCAAACAGG